rnacentral:rRNA from 1 species
GUAUGGUGCAAGUGUUAUCCGGAUUUACUGGGUGUAAAGGGAGCGCAGGCGGUGCGGCAAGUCUGAUGUGAAAGCCCGGGGCUCAACCCCGGUACUGCAUUGGAAACUGUCGUACUAGAGUGUCGGAGGGGUAAGCGGAAUUCCUAGUGUAGCGGUGAAAUGCGUAGAUAUUAGGAGGAACACCAGUGGCGAAGGCGGAUUGCUGGACGACAACUGGCGGUGAGGCGCGAAAGCGUGGGGAGCAAACAGGAUUAGAUACCCUGGUAGUCCACGCUGUAAACGAUGAAUACUAGGUGUGCGGGGACUGACCCCCUGCGUGCCGCAGCUAACGCAAUAAGUAUUCCACCUGGGGAGUACGAUCGCAAGGUUG